rnacentral:rRNA from 1 species
GACGAACGCUGGCGGCGUGGAUUAGGCAUGCAGGUCGAACGGUAUCAUCCUUUCGGGGGUGAGAGAGUGGCGAACUGGUGAGUAACACGUAGGUUAUCUACCCUCAAGACGGGGACAACCCAGGGAAACUUGGGCUAAUACCGGAUGUGAGCAACUUUUAGUUGUUUGAAAGGUGGCGUAAGCUGUCGCUUGGGGAUGAGCCUGCGUCCUAUUAGUUAGUUGGUGAGGUAACGGCUCACCUAGGCAAUGAUAGGUAGGCGGCCUUAACGGGUGGUCGCCCACACUGGGAUUGAGAUACGGCCCAGACUCCUACGGGAGGCAGCAGUCGAGAAUAGUCUACAAUGGUCGGAAGACUGAUAGUGCGACGCCGCGUGAACGAUGAAUCCCUUCGGGGUGUAAAGUUCUUUUAUAUGUGAGCAGUGCUUCUUAUAUUAACAGUAUGGGGAGAGAGAUAUUAGCAUAUGAAUAAGCAACGGCUAACUCCGUGCCAGCAGCCGCGGUAAACUCGU